GACGAACGCUGGCGGCGUGCUUAACACAUGCAAGUCGAACGCUGAAGCUCAGCUUUUGUUGGGUGGAUGAGUGGCGAACGGGUGAGUAACACGUGAGUAACCUGCCCCCUUCUUUGGGAUAACGCCCGGAAACGGGUGCUAAUACUGGAUAUUCACUGGUCUUCGCAUGGGGGUUGGUGGAAAGGGUUUUUCUGGUGGGGGAUGGGCUCGCGGCCUAUCAGCUUGUUGGUGGGGUGAUGGCCUACCAAGGCUUUGACGGGUAGCCGGCCUGAGAGGGUGACCGGUCACAUUGGGACGGAGAUACGGCCCAGACUCCUACGGGAGGCAGCAGUGGGGAAUAUUGCACAAUGGGCGCAAGCCUGAUGCAGCGACGCCGCGUGAGGGAUGGGGGCCUUCGGGUUGUGAACCUCUUUCGCUCAUGGUCAAGCCGCAACAAUGGUUGUGGUGAGGGUAGUGGGUAAAGAAGCGCCGGCUAACUACGUG
rnacentral:rRNA from 1 species